UACGAAGGGGGCUAGCGUUGUUCGGAAUUACUGGGCGUAAAGGGCGCGUAGGCGGUGUGUCAAGUCAGGCGUGAAAGCCCCGGGCUCAACCUGGGAACCGCGCUUGAGACUGGUGCGCUAGAGUCCGGGAGAGGAUGGUGGAAUUCCCAGUGUAGAGGUGAAAUUCGUAGAUAUUGGGAAGAACACCGAUGGCGAAGGCAGCCAUCUGGACCGGCACUGACGCUGAGGCGCGAAAGCGUGGGGAGCAAACAGG
rnacentral:rRNA from 1 species